UUAAAUUGAAGAGUUUGAUCAUGGCUCAGAUUGAACGCUGGCGGCAGGCCUAACCCAUGCAAGUCGAACGGUAACAGGAAGAAGCUUGCUUCUUUGCUGACGAGUGGCGGACGGGUGAGUAAUGUCUGGGAAACUGCCUGGUGGAGGGGGAGAACUACUGGAAACGGUAGCUAAUACCGCAUAAC
rnacentral:rRNA from 1 species